UUUUUGAUCCUGGCUCAGAGCGAACGCUGGCGGCAGGCUUAACACAUGCAAGUCGAGCGGGCCCUUCGGGGUCAGCGGCGGACGGGUGAGUAACGCGUGGGAACGUGCCUUCUGGUUCGGAAUAACCCUGGGAAACUAGGGCUAAUACCGGAUACGCCCUUUUGGGGAAAGGUUUACUGCCGGAAGAUCGGCCCGCGUCUGAUUAGCUAGUUGGUGGGGUAACGGCCUACCAAGGCGACGAUCAGUAGCUGGUCUGAGAGGAUGAUCAGCCACACUGGGACUGAGACACGGCCCAGACUCCUACGGGAGGCAGCAGUGGGGAAUAUUGGACAAUGGGCGCAAGCCUGAUCCAGCCAUGCCGCGUGAGUGAUGAAGGCCUUAGGGUUGUAAAGCUCUUUUAUCCGGGACGAUAAUGACGGUACCGGAGGAAUAAGCCCCGGCUAACUUCGUGCCAGCAGCCGCGGUAAUACGAAGGGGGCUAGCGUUGCUCGGAAUCACUGGGCGUAAAGGGCGCGUAGGCGGCGUUUUAAGUCGGGGGUGAAAGCCUGUGGCUCAACCACAGAAUGGCCUUCGAUACUGGGACGCUUGAGUAUGGUAGAGGUUGGUGGAACUGCGAGUGUAGAGGUGAAAUUGUGA
rnacentral:rRNA from 1 species